GAAGCAGAAGCUACCGGGAGCUAACAUUAGCAGCUAUGCGGCUAACUGGAUCCGCCGGGUCCACAAACAACGGCCCGCUAAGGAACGGAUCCACGGCGUGAUACGGAGCAGAGCGUGUUGUGUUCGUGCUGGACUCCACAGAACCAGGUUGUGGGAGUGUGGAGAAAACGGCAGGAGACGCGCCGGGGGUCGGUCCAGAGGACCAGCUUUCCAGCCGGGCUCGCAGCGGAACAGCAGGAGACACGAGGAGGCGAGAAGAGGACACGAUGAGCCCGGCGGGGCUCAGGAGGACCUCUGACAUCAGGAGGCAGUAGCGGUGGCUGAAGAAAAGCAGAAGGCAGUGCACAGAUGUGACAGAAGGGGCGUCACAGUGGGGAUGUCGAGAGAGCACAGCGGAUGGAUCCGAGGUCACGCCCGUUGAGGAGGAGAGGAGGGGCCAGGAGGAGCACGGCAGAGGUCAGGAGGAGGUGCUGACACGGGAAGGUGAAAGCAUAGC
rnacentral:lncRNA from 1 species